rnacentral:rRNA from 1 species
GACGUAGGGCGCGAGCGUUGUCCGGAUUUAUUGGGCGUAAAGAGCUCGUGGGCGGCUUGUCGCGUCGUCCGUGAAAACCUGGGGCUCAACCCCAGGCUUGCGGUCGAUACGGGCAGGCUAGAGUUCGGUAGGGGAGACUGGAAUUCCUGGUGUAGCGGUGAAAUGCGCAGAUAUCAGGAGGAACACCGGUGGCGAAGGCGGGUCUCUGGGCCGAUACUGACGCUGAGGAGCGAAAGCGUGGGGAGCGAACAGG